rnacentral:rRNA from 1 species
GAUGAACGCUAGCGGCAGGCUUAAUACAUGCAAGUCGAACGGCAGCGGGUCCAGCAAUGGAUGCCGGCGAGUGGCGCACGGGUGCGUAACACGUAUGCAACCUACCUUUAACCGGGACAUAACCUCGCGAAAUCGUGGCUAAUAUUCCAUAAUAUCUUUGAAUCGCAUGGUUUGAAGAACAAAAUUCCGAUGGUUUUAGAUGGGCUUGCGCGACAUUAGCUAGUUGGUGAGGUAAUGGCUCACCAAGGCUACGAUGUUUAGGGGGUCUGAGAGGAUGAUCCCCCACACUGGUACUGAGACACGGACCAGACUCCUACGGGAGGCAGCAGUAAGGAAUAUUGGGCAAUGGGCGCAAGCCUGACCCAGCCAUGCCGCGUGCAGGAUGACAGCCCUACGGGUUGUAAACUGCUUUUAUACGGGAAAAAACCCUCUGACGUGUCAGAGGCUGAUGGUACCGUAAGAAUAAGCAUCGGCUAACUCCGUGCCAGCCGCCGCGGUAACAC